UACGAGGGGAGCAAGCGUUGUUCGGAUUUACUGGGCGUAAAGAGCUCGUAGGCGGUCUGUCGCGUCGGCUGUGAAAACCCGAGGCUCAACCUCGGGCCUGCAGUCGAUACGGGCAAACUAGAGUACUGCAGGGGAGACUGGAAUUCCUGGUGUAGCGGUGAAAUGCGCAGAUAUCAGGAGGAACACCGGUGGCGAAGGCGGGUCUCUGGGCAGUAACUGACGCUGAGGAGCGAAAGCGUGGGGAGCGAACAGG
rnacentral:rRNA from 1 species